rnacentral:rRNA from 1 species
GACGAACGCUGGCGGCGUGCUUAACACAUGCAAGUCGAACGGAAAGGCCCAGCUUGCUGGGUACUCGAGUGGCGAACGGGUGAGUAACACGUGGGUGAUCUGCCCUGGACUCUGGGAUAAGCCUGGGAAACUGGGUCUAAUACCGGAUAUGACCUUACAUCGCAUGGUGUUUGGUGGAAAGCUUUUGCGGUUCAGGAUGGGCCCGCGGCCUAUCAGCUUGUUGGUGGGGUAAUGGCCUACCAAGGCGACGACGGGUAGCCGACCUGAGAGGGUGAUCGGCCACACUGGGACUGAGACACGGCCCAGACUCCUACGGGAGGCAGCAGUGGGGAAUAUUGCACAAUGGGCGCAAGCCUGAUGCAGCGACGCCGCGUGGGGGAUGACGGCCUUCGGGUUGUAAACCUCUUUCACCAGGGACGAAGCGUGAGUGACGGUACCUGGAGAAGAAGCACCGGCCAACUACGUG